rnacentral:rRNA from 1 species
UACGUAGGGGGCGAGCGUUAAUCGGAAUUACUGGGCGUAAAGUGUGCGCAGGCGGCCGCGCAAGUCGAGUGUGAAAUCCCCGAGCUUAACUUGGGAAUUGCGCUCGAAACUACGUGGCUGGAGUGUGGCAGAGGAAGGUGGAAUUCCACGUGUAGCGGUGAAAUGCGUAGAGAUGUGGAGGAACACCGAUGGCGAAGGCAGCCUUCUGGGCCAACACUGACGCUCAUGCACGAAAGCGUGGGGAGCAAACAGG